UGGGGAAUAUUGGACAAUGGGCGCAAGCCUGAUCCAGCCAUGCCGCGUGAGUGAUGAAGGCCCUAGGGUUGUAAAGCUCUUUCACCGGUGAAGAUAAUGACGGUAACCGGAGAAGAAGCCCCGGCUAACUUCGUGCCAGCAGCCGCGGUAAUACGAAGGGGGCUAGCGUUGUUCGGAUUUACUGGUCGUAAAGCGCACGUAGGCGGACUUUUAAGUCAGGGGUGAAAUCCCGAGGCUCAACCCCGGAACUGCCUUUGAUACUGGAAGUCUUGAGUAUGGUAGAGGUGGGUGGAAUUCCGAGUGUAGAGGUGAAAUUCGUAGAUAUUCGGAGGAACACCAGUGGCGAAGGCGGCUCACUGGACCAUUACUGACGCUGAGGUGCGAAAGCGUGGGGAGCAAACAGG
rnacentral:rRNA from 1 species